GGUUAAUGAGAUGGAUGAACUCCUUAUAAGGUUUGGGAAAUCCUUCCCUUUGAGCUACCUUUUGGGGUGUUAGUUAGGCCUAAAACCUAAUUUCACAUUCACACUCUCACUCAAGGCACAAUGACAAUUGCUGACUACUUCUCCAAACUAAGGGAUCUUUGUAAUGAGUAUGAUACUCUCAUGCCUUAUCCUCUAUGUCCUUGCCCA
rnacentral:misc_RNA from 1 species